UGAACAGUGAGGGUGAGAGGCCCAUAGUCCCCUCUCUGUGCUGUAAGUGUAAGCAGGAUCUUGCAGUGUGGUGCUGAGAGCUGAAGGAGGUGCCUGAGGAAGAGAGAAAAACCGCAGGGAAAUGACAGCAAAGCCUUCUUUUAUAGAACAGAGAAUUACAGGCCAGCUGCAAGAGAGAGUGUAGCACUGAUACUGUUGGGCAGUAGAAGUGUUUGUGAAGACAGGACAUGAUACUAACAAGAGAGUGAUGUGUCCAUGUUUGUGUCCUUUUGAAGAUAAGUAGGAAGAAGAAAAGUGAGAAAAGAGAGAAGACAGGAAGAAAGGAAAAGGAAGAGGAAGAGGAAAAGGAAAAGGAAGAAAGAGGAAGAAAUCAAGGCAACAGAGAAGGAGUAUCCUGCUAUUGCACUGUGAUCACAUAUGAAAGCUAUCAUGUUAAUAAAUCAAAAAUUCCCACUGUAGACCAUGGUAAAUGACUACUAUAUGAUUCAAUUUUAGUAGGAGAGAUAAAUAAUAGUGUAGACAGAUGCAAUAGUAUUGCAACUAAAUAAUGGGUUGAAAUCAACUCUACAGCAAAUAUAUCUUACAAGCUGAAACAUUUGGGGAAACAUAAUCUGAAACACUGGAUUCACAGGAGUGAAUCACACAGAAAAUGGAAAAGAACUAUCUGCAAGGAAGCAGUAAUGCUAAAAGGACUUCUCUAACGAAAAGAUACAUUCUUGGUGUCUCCAGAGACUUGUGUUUCCAGAGACCGGUGUCUUAUGCAAAAGUGUAAAGGGAGAACUCAGCAAGACCAAAGUGGGGAGAAUCUCAUGAAGACUGACUACCUUAAUGACGUGCCUUUAUGGGCCACAUCUUCUCAUCUGUCUACCAAAUAAAGAAAGUACAGCAGUAGCCUAUGUUAUUGAAAGACUAGAAAACUCUAAGACUAAGGUAUCAUCUUAUUCAAAGUCUUAUGAAAUCGACAAGACCAGUAUCAUGAGCAAGCCAGGCACGAUUAGAUUUUAAGGAGUAUUUCUAAGUGAAACUUAGAUUUCUCCAGGCAAUGUGCUUCACUGAAUCACUGAACUUGGACUAAGAAAUAAUACUGAUCAUAUUUCCAACUUCCUACCCCCAAAAUCUUGAUUGUGCUCCUGCCUCUGUAUACUUUCAUUCCUUUUCUUUCUUAUUUAUUUAAUUUGGAAAUCCUUCAAUAUAGAAAAUUAGCCAAGGACAAGGAGACAUGGUUUUGGAUGGAAUUUCUAGGUGCACUUAGCACACAGCAAUAAAUCUUGAACAUAAAAUUUAUUCACAGUGUAGGCUACUUAUUAUCAGUCAAGUCUAAACUCCAUUCUUAUCACUUUGGCUCUUUUGGUUUUAGUCAUAUAAAUACAGUUUGAGUAACGUUAUGUUCAUGAGGGAUAUUAUUAUUAUUUUUUUAGCUGGAUUUGAACAAAACAUUGUAACUGCUCUACUUUGCCACAGAUGCAAUUUUCCACUGUAAUUGUGCCCAAUAUUCUAUUAUAAGUUCUCUUAUAUAAACUAAUUAGUAUUCUAGAUGUAGUGCAACACUGAUACUUAUGCAGGAAGCAAACUCACCCAGGAAGUUUAUAGAGUACAAGAUUCUAUUAGGAACGUCCCUAAAAUAUUCUGUUAAUGCAAUUCAAUUAAACAAUUUUAAACAGAAUUAUCAUGUGGCCUUGGACAUCUGUGGUUAGCACAACACAACACAUAAAAUACUGAAUUCUAAGGAAAAUAUUGUUUUGUCAGUUAGAAGCACAAAGCAUGAAUUUCCACAGAGGCGAGAUUAUGGGAGAUUAAUCUUUCAGAGCUACAAGAUGACAUAUGCAGUCAGCAUGCAGACUAGCAUGUGUACUAUAAGCACUGAAAAAGAAAAGAAUUUCUUCAGAAGUCUGUGCUUUGUUCCUUAAAAGCCAUUCCUUUUAUAAUAUCUUUUUGCACCUUUUCUAUCAAACAAAUUCAAGAAACCUAGUGCAACUGGCAUUUACAAUACAAUUCACCAUCGACAGUCACCUAAUCAAAUGGUAGAUACUUGAAGAUGUUUUUAUUAAAUAUCUUAUGUCAUAUUGAAAUUGUAUCAUUUGGAUGAUGAUGCAAAAUUAAAAAGUUAAACAAUAUUCUUAGUUAUAUUUGCAGUUUCAAUGAGUUUUUCUCAUAGUUGCUUAAGUGUAAAGAAUGCCAGGCCACCUACUCUCCUUGCUUGGAGUCACGUUGGGGCUCACGCUCCACCAAAACCUCAUAUGGUUUUAGGUCUAUUUUCUCUACCUCUGAAUGACACCCACUUUCUCAUACAGCCUUAUCCCUUCUGCACUAACUUUUCCUCUGACCCAACUCUCUCCAUCUAAUCCAAAUUAUGAGCUAGUCUCCACCUUAUCUUCUAGCAUUUCUGAUUUCCACUUAAAUAAAACAUUUCCUAAACUGAACUGCUGGGGAGGCAUCCUUCAUGCCAUGGAAAAAGGCUGGCAGAGCAUCAAAAGGCCCCAAACUAUUGUAUCUGAUGGUGCUGCAGUAGAGGGAGCAACGCUGGUCUGAAGACAGGAAGAAUGGCUCCUCAGCCUUGCAUUCCUUCUCAGGCUUCUCAGAAGAUCUCUCCGUAACUGUGUCUAUCAAAUUCUGGAAGGGGAGGUAAUAUAUAUUGUGAAGGAGACAAAGAAGAAGCCCUGACAACCAGGCAUGAUAUACAGCAGAUGACUUAAUCACUUGACCACAUCUCAUACUCCAGAUGUUGCCUGAGGUUCUCAUGGACUUGCUACAAGCUGUUGCAGUCUCUCUGCUACUCUGUGACCUCACGUGCUUAGCCCUUCAUCUCUGGGAGGUCUUUCUGGAAAAUAAGCCCACCAAAAGGUACAUUCUUCAACUGCAAACACAGCUGCAUGAGAUCCCUCGUGUGUCUGAACUGCUUCCAGCACAGAAAACACUUUGCAAAUUCUCUGCAAAGAGAUUUACCACAGGAUACAAGGGUUUGAAUGCAACUCUUGAGCAUGUGUGUUUGGAAUAGGAUGGGUUUAUCCUUUGACAGGUCAGAAGAAGAACAAUAAACUUUAAAGACAGGCAUAUAAUUUAUGUUUGGACAUCUGGCUCUGUCAUGUGCUGUGAAGCUGAUUCUCAAUUGGGAAGCAAAGAGGCAAAAUUCACCCGAACCAGAAGGGUAACAAAGAAUAUGACUCAGAAAAGAACUUGUGUCUGUGUUUGCAUACUGCUUUUACUGGAACUUGCUUAAACACUGCCAAAUCAGGACUAAAAGCCACUGAAACUGACAGGCACUUCACCUCUACAGGGCUACCUACAUAAUUACACUAAUACCUUAUAAGAGAUUUAUUCCCCUCCUGAGGUAUGCAUUUUUCCCUGGUGUUUUAGCAAAGCCUAUGACAGACAUUAUGAUGUGUUAAGUGAACUGCCAAAGAUCCAAAAUAGUUCCAGAUAACAAAGAACACUUUUUCUUUAACGUGCUUUAGAGGAGUAAAAUAAAUAUAUCUGGCAAUUUAAGAGCACCAGCUGAAGUGUUUAUGAAGUUGUACAUGAGCUAUUUGAUUGUAACAGUGUUUAAUUGUAAUUUAGUGGUCUUAUUCACAACCUUCUUGUAUUUUUUUAUGACUUGUUUCUUAUGAGACUGAGCAGUUCACAGUGCUGUGACACUGGGUUACAACAUCACGCAACAAACUGAGAUCUACCUUUUGUUGCUUUAUUUGAUGGGCCAUUUUCUUACGGAGUUCUAGGAAUCAUUUUUCACAAGUACAGACAAGUAUCGGCCUUAUUCAGCCGCCUUAGAGAAACACAGAAGCUGGCUGAGGAAAGUUCCAUUGAGGGUACUGCAGUUGCAAACUGUAGCCAUUAGCUAUUCACUUCCAGAAGAACGCGGAGAUGUAACUAUGGCACAGAUACUGCUAAUAAACAUACCAGAACUUACUCCUCCCAUCAAAUAGCAUUGAAAACAGUUGUCCGUCUUGCAUGACCAAGGUUAGAUAAGUUCAGCACCUGUUGCAGCAAAAUGUGGUAAGUGUUGAGCAUGUUUUCCUAAAGCAGGUGUUGAACUCCCUUGACCCUAUUCACAACAGCUGGACAAAUGGACCGCUGUUCUUCUUCAACAAAGGGUGCAUGUGUGAUCUUGACAUACAGUUGUUUCCAUGAUUUUAAGGAAGCUGAAGAGUAAUGUCUGCUGUUUGCAGCUUAAAAAUUGAGAACUCGUUUGAUAAAGUGGGAAUCAGCCCUGAACACUUUCUCUAAGUUAAACUUGAACUUUAAAAGGAUUGUGAUUGAUUAAUUUAGAUUAUUAAUUUAGAUGAUGCCUUUUACAAGGAAACCAGCUCCUAUUCUCUCUGCUGAAGCUCUUUUUUUCAGCCAUCUGGAAACCCAUAGCUGACCUCUUCCUUAAACAUCUCCAGAUGCACUUGUUUUUCAACCUCAACUACUUUUGAAAUCUUUGGCACCCUAACCUCUGUAAUACCAUUCAGCACAAAAAUACUGCUUUCUAUAAGAGUUGUUUCUUGGACAUUUAUAUUGGACAGGCUUCCUUUAUUUCAUACCAGUUCCUUCAGGAAGUGUAAGAGAAUUUUUCCCACUUUAUAAUGUGUUGGCAGUGCAAUGAUAGCGUACUGAGUAAGAAGGUGUAUCAGGGUAGAUGUUUUGCUUUUGAUUUAGGCCUUAAUUCCUCCCAAGCUAAUCGUGUCACCCUUUCCACAGAGAGACAAUACCAUUUUUUGUAAUGUCUUUCAAUGGAAGUUAGUAACUGUGUUGUUCACAAAGUAGAUGCUUGGCUCAAUAGACAAGUUACCCCACCCAUUUAAAGAGUUAAAGUAUAUUAUUAUAUUAAAGUAUAUUAUAAAUACAAAAUUAUACUGGAGAAAAGAAAACAAACAAACAAAAAUGUCAAAAGCCCACAGCUGUAUAUAAACAUAAAACAGUAGUUCUUUAACCUGUUUUCAAAUCAUUAAUACGUUAGCAUUUAUUUGCAAGCAUGAAGUUAGAAGAGCUGCAAAGUGCACAGCAGUGUGUAAUAAUGUUCACAUACAGACAUAUAAAAAUACAGCUAAAGACAAAUGCUCCUAAGAUAUUAAAAGAACAGAAAUACAGUUCCCAAAGCAAACAAUAUUUUAUGGAGUGAAGCUAAUUAAUGCUCUCUUAUUCUAUUUCUUGUGUUCUCCUUGCCCCUAACUACUCACUUGAGAUACAUGGGAAAGUAAUUUUAAUUUCAUUGAUUAAUUUCAUGAAUACCCACUGUGAGCCAUAUCUAAAAAUGAGUUCCUUCAGAAAAUAGAUUAUCAUGAGCAGAGAAUUGCUACUGUAUUUUUCAGCAAGAUGGGGGUUUGAAGUCAGCGCAAUGUGUGGUCUCUCUCUCUCUUCAUACAACUUACCAAGACUGAAAGACCCUUUUUCUGACACUGGCUGUGUGAUUUCAAUCAUGUACCUAAGUUCUGUGUCUGUAAAUGGUGUAUAUAUGUAGAGCAGAAAAAAAUAAUAAAACCCUGCAUAGACUGUAAUGCACUGACUGCAGUCUUUGCAAGCAGGCUCAUAAGUGCUCACCAACGACUGUACACCCAAAGUUAAAUGUGUG
rnacentral:lncRNA from 1 species